CAUUAAGAAGCUUCUAUAGCAUUAACCUUUUAAGUUAAAGAAGAAACACUGUUUCCUUGAUGA
rnacentral:tRNA from 1 species